AGUUUGAUCCUGGCUCAGAGUGAACGCUGGCGGUAGGCCUAACACAUGCAAGUCGAACGGCAGCACAGUAAGAGCUUGCUCUUAUGGGUGGCGAGUGGCGGACGGGUGAGGAAUACAUCGGAAUCUACUCUUUCGUGGGGGAUAACGUAGGGAAACUUACGCUAAUACCGCAUACGACCUACGGGUGAAAGCGGAGGACCUUCGGGCUUCGCGCGGUUGAAUGAGCCGAUGUCGGAUUAGCUAGUUGGCGGGGUAAAGGCCCACCAAGGCGACGAUCCGUAGCUGGUCUGAGAGGAUGAUCAGCCACAUUGGGACUGAGACACGGCCCAAACUCCUACGGGAGGCAGCAGUGGGGAAUAUUGGACAAUGGGCGCAAGCCUGAUCCAGCCAUGCCGCGUGAGUGAUGAAGGCCUUAGGGUUGUAAAGCUCUUUCACCGGUGAAGAUAAUGACGGUAACCGGAGAAGAAGCCCCGGCUAACUUCGUGCCAGCAGCCGCGGUAA
rnacentral:rRNA from 1 species